rnacentral:lncRNA from 1 species
GGAGAGUUAACAUCUAAUCUGGAGGAAGACCCUGGAAGGAGCCAGCCCCUUCCCCCAGGCUGACCUGGUUUAAGCCUUUCUUCUGCCAAGGUCACCAGCACCCCAGAUGGGUGAGAGAUGUGAUCACUGGUUUCGUGGCCUGACCAAGGACCUCCAAGGAGGUAUCUUUCCCAUCUUGGCCCACAGAGGAGGAAAUCCUAGAAGGGAUGACUGAAGCUUGGGACUAACACAUUGGUGGAUCUGUGCUACCCCCUGCUGGCCGUAGACGGUAUGACAGCCAAGAUAGGGCAAGGCUUCGAGGGGCGAUGGAUGGAUUCACCGCAGCGGCGACAUUUCUGGACUGUUGUCACCUUCAGUGCAGUCACUGGGAAUAUUCAGAACCCAGACAGAGUCUCACUCUGUUGCCCAGGCGGCUGGAGUGCAGUGGUGUGAUCUCAGCUCACUGCGACCUCCGCUUCCCAGAUUCAAGCAAUUCUCCUGCCUCAGCCUCCUGAGUAGCUGGGACUACAGGUGUGUGCCACCACGUUCAGCUAAUUUUUGUAUUUUUAGUAGAGACGGGGUUUCACCAUGUUGGCCAGGCUGGUCUUGAACUCCUGACCUCAAGUGAUCCACCCGCCUUGGCCUCCCAAAGUGCUGGGAUUACAGGUGUGAGCCACCGCGCCUGGCCUCUUAACAGUUCUAAUGUAUCUUUGCAGAGCUAUUUGGAGCAUAUGCUGUGUAUAUGUGCGUGUGUGUGUGACACAAAUGAUAGCACACGCUCUACACUGUUCAGCACCUGCUAUUUUCAUGUCAUAAUAUACCUGCCUGUAGAUAGUCAACAUAGUUUUCCAUCGUAUGGUGUGUCACAAUUUAUUUACCAUUCCCCUCCUAGUGGAUAUUUAUGUAUGUCCGCCUUUUAUUACUACAAACAAUGCUAAUUACAGGAAAUAUCUUGGUACAUAUAUUUGCAGACAUAUGUGUGUGUGUGAAAUAAAUUUAUAAGUAUGGCAAUUCUGGGUCAAAGAUUAUGUGCUCUUAAAUGUUUUAUAGGUUUUCACAGAAUUGCCCUCCAAAAAUUUUGUACCAAUUUACAAUCCCCAACAACGGAUGAGAUCACCUGUUUCCCCAAAUCCUCACAAACAGGUUAAUAUCAGGCCUUUUGAUCUUAGGUGAUGACUCUUUAAAAGUCCUGCUCACAGAGCAGUUGAUGAUCUGUCUUUUUCUUUGGGCCGCGGGUUUCUCCAAGGAAGGGACUGUGUCUUUCUCAUACCUACAUCCCCAGUGAAGGACUUGACACCAUCCUUGGGAGUUACUCAAGAAGUGUCUGCUAAAUAUUGAGUGAAAGAAACAGAGCUGCAUUUUGGCAGGCUGGGAGGGAGAGGGUAAAAGGUUAGGUUUGAACAGGAGGCCUGCUUUUUUUUUUUUUUUUUGAGAUGGAGUCUCACUCUGUUGCCCAGGCUGGAGUGCAGUGGCGCGAUCUCAGCUCACUGCAACCUCCAAGGAGGACUGCUCUUUAGGGCCACUUUCUCUUCCAGACCCUGGUCAAGCCUCUGCCCCAAAUCCAAAAGCCUUCCUCUUGCAGGAGCCUCCCAGGUUGCAAGGUCUGAGGUUGAAGGCCCAGAACUCCCAGUGCAGCUUUCACCCAGCUCUGCUGCAUUCCAGGGAUGGGCCCCAUCAUCCCCAAGCUGCCUGAGAACUGGAAACAAACUAGGUGUCCAGCUUUAGGGGAUCAGUUAAACCACUGUCCUAUAGAACUUUCUGCAAUGAUGAAAAUGUUCUCUAUCUGCCCUGUCCAAUAUGGCAGCCACUGGCCACUCGUAGCUACCGAGUAUUCAAGCUGUAGCUAGUUCAACUAAGGAAAUAAAUAAAUGUUACUUAAUUUUAAUUAAUUUCCAUUUAAGUAGCCAUGUGUGGCUACAUAUUGGACAGUGAAGGGUUCAGUAAAUUAUGAUAUAGCCCCACAAUGGAAAACUAUGCAGCUGUAAAAAAAAAAAAUAAUAAGGAUGCCAAGAAAAAUGGAAAGAUCUUCAGGAUAUAUUUUGAAACAAAAAUGUGGUACAGGCUGUGUGCAGUGGCUCACGCCAAUAAUCCCAGCACUUUGGGAGGCCAAGGUGAGAGGCCGAGGCAGGAGGAUCACUUGAGUCCAGGGGUUCAAGACCAGCCUGGUCAACAUAAUGAGACUUCCGUCUCUACAGAAAGUGAAAAAAAAAAAAAAGACAGCAUGGUGGUAUAUGAAUGUAGUCCCAUCUACUCAGGAAGCUGAGGUGGGAGGAUUGCUUGAGCCAGGGAAGUUGAGGCUGCAGUAAGCUGUGAUUGUGCCACCACACUCCAGCCUGUGUGACAGAGCAAGACCCCAUCUAAAAAAAAAAAAAAAGGCCAGGCACGAUGGCUCACACAUGUAAUCCCAGCACUUUGGGAGGCCGAGGACCGUGGAUCACCUGAGGUUGGGAGCUCAAGACCAGCCUGACCAACAUAGAGAAACCUCAUCUCUACUAAAAACACAAAAUUAGCUGGGUGUGGUGGCACAUGCCUAUAAUCCCAGCUACUCAGAAGACUGAGGCAGAAGAACCACUUGAACCCAGGAGGCGGAGGUUGCGGUGAGCCAAGAUAGUGCCAUUGCACUUCAGCCUGGGUAACAAGAGCGAAACUCUGUCUCAAAAAAAAAAAUGUGGUUCAGAACAGUAUACAUAGUAUGUCAUCUUUUUUGAAAGAAAGGCAGGUAGGCCGGGCGCAGUGGCUCACACCUGUAAUCCCAGCACUUUGGGAGGCCGAGGUGGGCGGAUCACGAGGUCAGGAGAUUGAGACCAUCCUGGCUAACGCGGUGAAACCCUGUCUCUACUAAAAAUACAAAAAAUUAGCCGGGCGUAGGUGGUGCACUCCUGUAGUCCCAGCUACUCGGGAGGCUGAGGCAGGAGAAUGGCGUAAAACCCGGGAGGCUGAGCUUGCAGUGAGCCAAGAUCGCGCCACUGUACUUCAGCCUGGGAGACAGAGCGAGAUUCCGUCUCAAAAAAUAAAAAAAAAAGAAAAAGAAAGGCAGGUAGAGGAGGCUGGAUGUGGUGGCUCAUGCCUGUAAUACCAGCACUUUGGGAGGCCAAGGGGGACAGAUCACUUGCAGAAAUGUGAGACCGGCCUGGACAACAUGGUGAAACCCCAUCUCUACACAAAAUACAAAAAUUAGUUGGACGUGGUAGUGCGCACCUGUAGUCCCAGCUACUCAGGAGGCUAAAGUGGGAGGGUUGCUUGAGCUGGGGAAGUCAAGGCUGCAGUGAGCCAAGAUUGCACCACUGCACUCCAGCAGGGGUGACAGAGGGAGACAGCAGGAGUGACAGAGUGAGACCCUGUCUCAAAAAAAAAAAGAAAAGAGCUUUGCACAGUGGUAGUAUCGUAGCCAAUGAAUGAAAGGGAG